UACGGAAGGGGCAAGCGUUGUUCGGAAUCAUUGGGCGUAAAGGGCGCGUAGGUGGUUCUGUAUGUCUACCGUGAAAGCAUACGGCUCAACUGUAUUUUGUCGGUAGAAACUGCAGGACUUGAGGCUGGGAGGGGCUGGUGGAAUUCCCUGUGUAGCGGUGAAAUGCGUAGAGAUGGGGGAGAACACUCGUGGCGAAGGCGGCCAGCUAGACCAGUUCUGACACUGAGGCGCGACAGCGUGGGGAGCAAACGGG
rnacentral:rRNA from 1 species